rnacentral:lncRNA from 1 species
UUCCCUUUAUCCAAAUGCAAUGAAAUUUGGUGUGUUGCUCAUUGAAUGUGUUCUGUUUAAGCAUGAGUUUUCCUGGAAUUUAUUGAGCCAUUGUGGUAUUGAUAUGCUUGUGUUCAUUCUGUUUACAUCAUUGAGUUCUCAACUUGACUAGUUUGACAUGAUUUGCUUAUGAAAUGCAAUUGGUGAAUGCUUUUGAUAUGAGACCAAUUAGACUUUGUUCUUAUUUGAUUAAUCUUGGUUUUGAUCAACUUUCAUGUUCUG